GAGGACCAUUGGGCAUGGCUUU
rnacentral:miRNA from 1 species